UGCACUGAUUAAUUAAACUUGGUAAACUCACUUGAAGUUAGUUUUCAAGACCUCCACAGCUUCAGUGUAUCCUUCACCUGUCUAUCCAGAAGAUGCAGAAAGGAAUAAAUGUCUCUCAUUGCCCAGAGGACCUUGACAUCUUGAGGUGCCAGUGAAACAUAAACAUAGUCAGCUGUUGUACACAUAGAGGAGUGUACAUUUUUUCAGACAGAGCUGCAUGGACAAGGCUGACAGACAAGGCAACGGAAAUGGCAAGAAUAAG